AGAUCUCUGAUAAAAUCAAUAUUUUCUAUGAGUUUUUUUCAGUAGAGUGGAUACACUGACCUGAUAUUCCGCUGAAGUCGGCAGCUGCUGGAUUAAAAGCAUCACUGAGGCCCAUGGCAGGAAGCACUGACCUCAGACAGCAAAAGAAACCUCACCUUGGCAGGAAGACGUCCAUUUUAAUCCUGCGUAGGCCGCUGUCCCAUAAUGCCAGCUGUCGGGUGUUGAGCUGGGACUCGAUAGAGGACAGUGACGUCUUCCUGUCACUGGGAAGAACCACCUGCAGACUCAGGGAGUGGCCCAGGUACGGCAGCUCCAACACUGUGUAACGCUGGUCGGACAAUGUUCUAAACUGACCUGUUGACAGAUGGACGGAUGGUUGUGGUCUCUUACCAAACCUCACUUCUGUAGCCUGGUACAUCAUGGGGACUUUGAUGAUGCUUCCAUCGGGGAGGGUGAAGGGCAGGUUCUGAGUGUUGGAGAACAAGAAGUGUUUCUGCCACACUCCUCUGAAGACCACAGUGUUGACCAGCGCCACCUGCUGCCUCUGGCUCCACCACAGAGCUUCUGCCUGAGUCUCCCCUGACCCUGACAGCUCUCCACUGCUGCUGCCUGACUGGACGGUCAAGGCCUCAUCUGAGAGAAAAGCCAGGAAAGGAGCCAAGUGGAAACGUCUUGUCAAGGCUGCGAGUGCAUAGCAAAGUAAAGAGCUGCCUCUGUUACCUUGGCUGUGGCCUGAGUGUGCGUCUCUGUGUCUCUGCAUGUGGACAGUUUGGCUGAAGUUGGCUUGGACCACGCUGGUGUUGGCCCAGGCUGCAGCGUGGUGUGUGAAUUCACUGAGGAGCCGGAC